rnacentral:rRNA from 1 species
AUGUCCAUGGGCAUCUUUCUAACAGUCGUCCCCUGUGGCUCCUCCGGGAGGGGAUCUGCAGGCUGCGCUCGGCUCGGCUGGUCCGGCUGCAAAGGCCAAGCGCUCCAAGGUGACACUGGUGGUUUAACGGGCCCCAAGUGCCAGGUCCAAGGAGGCGCUGGGAGAGCUCUCUUCCCUGGAGAGUGCCCAGCUCCGUCUCGCCGACAAGAAUCUCGAGACUGCAGGUAA